CUUGCAGAUGCUGACUGUUGCAGACACUGAAUCGGUCACAAUAGCUGAUAUCAAAGGUCUGUCAUGGAGAGUCCUGCAAGUUCCAUUGGUCCGGUCUUGACAUUCUGUAUGAACAAGUCGAAGGGGUGACGGCCUACAAGGAGAACUGUGAGAAGCUGGUCAGCGCGGUCCGCGCUCUAGAGCAUGACCUACGAUAUCAAAAGGAGGAGGACCUGCAGCAGAGCACUCUAGUGGACCUCCAGAGGACCCUGGAGGACGCGGUGAAGCUGAUGCAGCAGCUCGCAGACGCCAACGUGACAGACCAGUUUAAUGACAUCAACAGACGACUGAGUGGUGCGUCUGUCCCUGCACCUGGAGCAGGUGAGCCAGCAGGAGCCCAGCAGGAUGCCUGAACAUACUGCUCCUCCUUCACAUCCUUAAUGGCCUUUCGAUUAUUUUUUUUUUUUUUCAUUUUUUAUACCUGUAUGCUUUAUUUGAUCUUAUUUGGAUAAAAAACAUCUGCUAAACGUAACGUAAAACGUAAGACGUAAAACGUGGCAAGAA